rnacentral:rRNA from 1 species
UAAUUCGAAGCAACGCGAAGAACCUUACCUAAGCUUGACAUCCCAAUGACAUCUCCUUAAUCGGGGAGUUCCCUUCGGGGACAUUGGUGACCGGUGGUGCAUGGUUGUCGUCAGCUCGUGUCGUGAGAUGUUGGGUUAAGUCCCGCAACGAGCGCAACCCUUGUCUUUAGUUGCCAUCAUUAAGUUGGGCACUCUAGAGAGACUGCCAGGGAUAACCUG